GCGUAUAUUAUUGUAUACACUAUACACGGCUAUAUUAUUCCAAACGUCACGUGUUGCCGUGUUGCCGUAACAUAAAACUGGUCUCGAAGAAAUGCGUGCAUUGUCGGACUGCGCACUAUCAGAUUCAGUAUUGAAAAAUUAUAGCGAGUUGGUGAAUUUUAUAUUUUCAUUCGGCGGCUACAAAGAUCCUAUGCACACACACACAUACACGUAUAGUAAGUAAAGACGGAAUAAAUCAAAUCAAAAUAGAUUUACCUGAUAUUAUAAUACAUGUAAAAUAAUUUAUAUGGUUCAUAAACAAUGACAUUAAAGAAUAAUAUCAUUGUGCCCAUGCCAGUAUACCUAUAAGUUGUAUCAGCACUCCACGACCUUUAAUUAUAAAUUAUUUUAUUUUUAUUGUACACAUAUACCUAUGUUAAUUUUAUAUUAUACAGGGUGUGCCGUGAGGAUUUUUACCCAUUGUGAUAUCUUCUGAAAUAAUGGAGAUAUCAUAAUUCUGGUUUUAUAAUAAGAUUCACAGGAACAAGAACUACAGUUUUAUUAUUUCAUGUUUUAAUUCAUUUUAACGUUUUGGUAAAAAAGAAAAAAAACAAAUUUUUUAAUUAAAUAUUUAAAAAAAAUUGAACAUCGCUAUUUUUUAGAGUUCAUUUUUCUGAAAAUAUUGACGUUAAAUAAUUUUAAUUUCAUUAAUCUUCUGAUUUUUAAUAUUUUUUCGAACAUUGCAAGUCACACUGAAAGCGUUUGCCUGCAACCGUAGAGCACGCGGGCCACAUGUUAGAUACAAUGAUACCACUAUCGUAAUAAAUAAUUCGUAGUUUUUUUUGAAAUUAGAAAAAAUAUUAAAAAUCAGAAGUUAAUGAAAUUAAAAUUAUUAAACGUCAAUAUUUUCAGAAAAAUUAACUACAAAAUGGCUAUCUUUAAUUUUUUUUUGAAAAUAAUUAAAUAAAAAAAUAUAUUUUUUAAAUUUUUUACCAAAAUAUCAAAAUAAAUUAAAACUUAAAAUAUUUAUAGUUCUUGUCCCUGGAAUCUCAUUUAAAAACCAGAUUAUGAUAUUUUCAUUAUUUCAUGAGAUAUCGUAAUGUGUAAAUCCUCAAGGGACACCCUGUAUAUAUAUGUUAUAAUAUUAUAUUAAGCAAUAUUUCAAAUAUUUUUUUAAUGUUCAGUUUCAUUAUUUUUUAAUG